rnacentral:rRNA from 1 species
AUGCCUGUACCAUAACCGACACAGGUGGGUAAGUAGAGUAUACUAAGGGGCGCGAGAUAACUCUCUCUAAGGAACUCGGCAAAAUAACUCCGUAACUUCGGGAGAAGGAGUGCCUUAUUCUUAAGGUUGCAAUAACAAGAUCCAAGCAACUGUUUAUCAAAAACACAGGUCUCCGCUAAGUCGUAAGACGAUGUAUGGGGGCUGACGCCUGCCCAGUGCCAGAAGGUUAAAGAAGUCGGUUAGCAAUAGCAAAGCUGGUAACUGAAGCCCUGGUGAACGGCGGCCGUAACGAUAACGGUCCUAAGGUAGCGAAAUUCCUUGUCGGGUAAGUUCCGACCCGCACGAAAGGCGUAAUGAUUUGGAUGCUGUCUCGGAGAGGGGCUCGGUGAAAUAGACUUGUCUGUGAAGAUGCGGACUACCUGCACCAGGACAGAAAGACCCUAUGAAGCUUUACUGUAACUUGAAAUUGAAAUUGGACUUUAUUCGCGCAGUAUAGGUGGGAGGCGUUGAUUAUAAUCUUGUGGGAUUAUUGGAGCCAUCAGUGAGAUACCACUCUUGUAAUGUUAGAUUUCUAACUUUGAAUCAUUAUCUGGUCAAAGGACAGUUUCAGGCGGGCAGUUUGACUGGGGCGGUCGCCUCCUAAACGGUAACGGAGGCGUACAAAGGUUUCCUCUGAACGAUUAGAAAUCGUAUCUAGAGUGUAAAGGCAUAAGGAAGCUUGACUGUGAGACCUACAAGUCGAGCAGGGACGAAAGUCGGUCUUAGUGAUCUGACGGUACUGAGUGGAAAGGCCGUCACUCAACGGAUAAAAGUUACUCUAAGGAUAACAGGCUGAUCUCCCCCAAGAGUUCACAUCGACGGGGAGGUUUGGCACCUCGAUGUCGGCUCAUCGCAUCCUGGGGCGGUAGUACGUCCCAAGGGUUGGGCUGUUCGCCCAUGAAAGCGGUACGCGAGCUGGGUUCAGAACGUCGUGAGACAGUUCGGUCCAUAUCCGGUGUAGGCGCUAGAAUAUUGAGAGGAGCCUUCUUUAGUACGAGAGGACCGAGAAGGACAUACCUCUGGUGUACCAGUUAUCGUGCCAACGGUAAACGCUGGGUAGCUAUGUAUGGAGUGGAUAACCGCUGAAAGCAUCUAAGUGGGAAGCCCACCUCAAGAUAAGUAUUCUCAUCACGUAAGUGAGUAAGGUCACGGUAAGACUAACCGUUUGAUAGGCAUUAAGUGUAAGUACAGUAAUGUAUGUGCUGAGAUGUCCUAAUAGACCGAGGACC